UACGAGGGGGGCUAGCGUUGCUCGGAAUCACUGGGCGUAAAGCGCACGUAGGCGGGUCGUUAAGUCGGGGGUGAAAUCCUGGAGCUCAACUCCAGAACUGCCUUCGAUACUGGCGAUCUUGAGUCUGGGAGAGGUGAGUGAAACUCCGAGUGUAGAGGUGAAAUUCGUAGAUAUUCGGAAGAACACCAGUGGCGAAGGCGGCUCACUGGCCCGGUACUGACGCUGAGGUGCGAAAGCGUGGGGAGCAAACAGG
rnacentral:rRNA from 1 species